GAUGAAGAACGUAGCGAAAUGCGAUACGUAAUGUGAAUUGCAGAAUUCAGUGAAUCAUCGAAUCUUUGAACGCACAUUGCGCCCGCCAGCACUCUGGCGGGCAUGCCUGUUCGAGCGUCAUUUCAACCAUCAAGCCCCAGGCUUGCGUUGGAGCCCUGCGGCUGCCGCAGCCUCCUAAAAGCAGUGGCGGGCUCGCUAUCACACCGAGUGCAGUAGAUUACUCUUCGCUCAGGGCGUGCAGCGGGUUCCGGCCGUGAAACCCCCUACUUUUAAAGGUUGACCUCGGAUCAGGUAGGAGUACCCGCUGAACUUAAGCAUAUCAAUAAGCGGAGGA
rnacentral:misc_RNA from 1 species